rnacentral:rRNA from 1 species
CAACUUUCAACAACGGAUCUCUUGGCUCUCGCAUCGAUGAAGAACGCAGCAAAAUGCGAUAAGUAAUGUGAAUUGCAGAAUUCAGUGAAUCAUCGAAUCUUUGAACGCACCUUGCGCUCCUUGGUAUUCCGAGGAGCAUGCCUGUUUGAGUGUCAUUAAAUUCUCAAU